GAUAGCUUCAGCGAACAUUCAACGCUGUCGGUGAGUUUGACAUGUCAGGAUAAACCAUCGACCGUUGACUGUACCUUGAGGUUUAUCAC
rnacentral:pre_miRNA from 1 species